rnacentral:rRNA from 1 species
UAACCUGCCCAAGAGAUCGGGAUAACACCUGGAAACAGAUGCUAAUACCGGAUAAUAACAGAUGAUGCCUAUCAACUGUUUAAAAGAUGGUUCUGCUAUCACUCUUGGAUGGACCUGCGGUGCAUUAGCUAGUUGGUAGGGUAACGGCCUACCAAGGCGAUGAUGCAUAGCCGAGUUGAGAGACUGAUCGGCCACAUUGGGACUGAGACACGGCCCAAACUCCUACGGGAGGCAGCAGUC